UACGGGGGGGGCGAAGCGUUGUUCGGAAUUACUGGGCGUAAAGGGCUCGUAGGCGGCCAACUAAGUCCGACGUGAAAUCCCAAGGCUUAACCUUGGAACUGCGUCGGAUACUGGAUGGCUUGGAUUUGGGAGAGGGAUGCGGAAUUCCAGGUGUAGCGGUGAAAUGCGUAGAUAUCUGGAGGAACACCGGUGGCGAAGGCGGCAUCCUGGACCAAUAUUGACGCUGAGGAGCGAAAGCCAGGGGAGCAAACGGG
rnacentral:rRNA from 1 species